rnacentral:rRNA from 1 species
GCGGCGUGCCUAACACAUGCAAGUCGAACGUGAGAGGGUACUUGUAUCCUUGAAAGUGGCGGACGGGUGAGUAAGACGUAGGUGACCUGCCUCGAAGUGGGGGAUAACCAUUGGAAACGAUGGCUAAUACCGCAUAAGCUGGUGACGAUGGGAAUGGUUAUCAGGAAAGCUUUAGUGCUUUGAGAGGGGCCUACGGCCGAUUAGCUAGUUGGUGAGGUAAAGGCUCACCAAGGCGAUGAUCGGUAGCUGGUCUGAGAGGACGAUCAGCCACACGGGAACUGAGACACGGUCCCGACUCCUACGGGGGGCAGCAGUGAGGAAUAUUCGGCAAUGGGGGCAACCCUGACCGAGCAACGCCGCGUGGAGGAUGACGGUUUUCGGAUUGUAAACUCCUUUUCUCAGGGAAGAGCGAGGACGGUACCU